AACGAACGCUGGCGGCAGGCCUAACACAUGCAAGUCGAGCGCCCUUUCGGGGGAGCGGCGGCCGGGUGAGUAACGCGUGGGCAUAUGCCCUUCUCUACGGAAUAGCCUCGGGAAACUGAGAGUAAUACCGUAUACGCCCUGUGGGGGAAAGAUUUAUCGGGGAAGGAUUAGCCCGCGUUGGAUUAGGUAGUUGGUGGGGUAAUGGCCUACCAAGCCGACGAUCCAUAGCUGGUUUGAGAGGAUGAUCAGCCACACUGGGACUGAGACACGGCCCAGACUCCUACGGGAGGCAGCAGUGGGGAAUCUUAGACAAUGGGGGCAACCCUGAUCUAGCCAUGCCGCGUGAGUGAUGAAGGCCUUAGGGUUGUAAAGCUCUUUCAGCUGGGAAGAUAAUGACGGUACCAGCAGAAGAAGCCCCGGCUAACUCCGUG
rnacentral:rRNA from 1 species